rnacentral:rRNA from 1 species
GACACGCUGGCGGCGUGCUUAACACAUGCAAGUCGAACGGUGACGAGGAGCUUGCUCCUCUGAUCAGUGGCGAACGGGUGAGUAACACGUGAGCAACCUGCCCCAGACUCUGGGAUAACAGUUGGAAACAGCUGCUAAUACCGGAUACGAGACGGAGAGGCAUCUCUACCGUCUGGAAAGUUUUUCGGUCUGGGAUGGACUCGCGGCCUAUCAGCUAGUUGGUGAGGUAAUGGCUCACCAAGGCGACGACGGGUAGCCGGCCUGAGAGGGCGACCGGCCACACUGGGACUGAGACACGGCCCAGACUCCUACGGGAGGCAGCAGUGGGGAAUAUUGCACAAUGGGCGAAAGCCUGAUGCAGCGACGCCGCGUGAGGGAUGACGGCCUUCGGGUUGUAAACCUCUUUCAGCAGGGAAGAAGCGAAAGUGACGGUACCUGCAGAAGAAGCACCGGCUAACUACGUG